rnacentral:rRNA from 1 species
CCAAGGAGUCUAACAUGUGCGCGAGUCACUGGGAUCUACGAAACCUAAGGGCGCAAUGAAGGUGAAGGCUCUCSUAGGAGUGCCGAGGUGGGAAGCCGUCCCUCCGGGGCGGCGGCACCACCGGCCCGUUCYGAUCGCUCGUCGAUGGGGCGGAGCAAGAGCGUACACGUUGGGACCCGAAAGGCGGUGAGCUAUGCGUGAGCAGGACGAAGUCGGGGGAAACUCUGAUGGAAGUCCGUAGCGAAUCUGACGUGCAAAUCGAUCGUCAAACUUGCGUAUAGGGGCGAAAGACUAAUCGAACCGUCUA